UACGGAGGGAGCUAGCGUUAUUCGGAAUUACUGGGCGUAAAGCGCACGUAGGCGGCUUUGUAAGUUAGAGGUGAAAGCCUGGAGCUCAACUCCAGAAUUGCCUUUAAGACUGCAUCGCUUGAAUCCAGGAGAGGUGAGUGGAAUUCCGAGUGUAGGAGGUGUAAAUUCGUAGAUAUUCGGAAGAACACCAGUGGCGAAGGCGGCUCACUGGACUGGUAUUGACGCUGAGGUGCGAAAGCGUGGGAGCAAACAGG
rnacentral:rRNA from 1 species